rnacentral:piRNA from 1 species
UGGAUUUUUCUUGUAGACUUU